rnacentral:rRNA from 1 species
UACGUAGGGUGCAAGCGUUGUCCGGAAUUAUUGGGCGUAAAGAGCGCGUAGGCGGUCCGAUAAGUCGGCUGUGAAAGUCAGGGGCUCAACCCUUGAAAGCCGGCCAUACUGUCGGACUAGAGUCCGGAAGAGGCAAGUGGAAUUCCCGGUGUAGCGGUGAAAUGCGCAGAUAUCGGGAGGAACACCAAUGGCGAAGGCAGCUUGCUGGGACGGUACUGACGCUGAGGCGCGAAAAGCGUGGGGAGCAAACAGG